GGAGGAAUAUUGGACAAUGGGCGCAAGCCUGAUCCAGCCAUGCCGCGUGCAGGAAGAAGGUCCUAUGGAUUGUAAACUGCUUUUAUACAGGAAGAAACACCUCUACGUGUAGAGACUUGACGGUACUGUAUGAAUAAGGACCGGCUAACUCCGUGCCAGCAGCCGCGGUAAUACGGAGGGUCCAAGCGUUAUCCGGAAUCAUUGGGUUUAAAGGGUCCGUAGGCGGUUUAAUAAGUCAGUGGUGAAAGCC
rnacentral:rRNA from 1 species